UACGUAGGCAGCGAGCGUUGUUCGGAGUUACUGGGCGUAAAGGGUGUGUAGGCGGUUGUUUAAGUUUGGUGUGAAAUCGCCCGGCUCAACUGGGCGGGGUCAGCGGAUACGGUCGAGCUUGAGCAAGCUAGGGGGCAAUGGAAUUCCCGGUGUAGUGGUGGAAUGCGUAGAUAUCGGGAGGAACACCAGUGGCGAAGGCGGUUGCCUGGAGCUUUGCUGACGCUGAGGCGCGAAAGCGUGGGGAGCGAGUCCGG
rnacentral:rRNA from 1 species